AGGCAAUGGAAAAAAGAAUCAAAUCCAUGCCAAAUUGGAUCAAACGUCAUAAAAAUGCUAUAACCCUGACCCUAAUGUUUAAUUUUACAAGUUAUCUAUUUGUUUAUUUAUAUGGAUUGGAUACAAGACACAAGCAACAAGCUUCUCUAGAAAAACACGAAAACCCUAAAUCUCUACCACUUGUUUCCAUCUAAGACAAAGACAAACCCACAUUUCCUUCACCAAAAAUGAAGGCUCAGGUCCCACAGUGCAGAAGCGUCCACAUCAAAAGUAAAAACCUAGAGAGAUCAGUUUCCA
rnacentral:misc_RNA from 1 species